GAUGAACGCUGGCGGCGUGCCUAAUACAUGCAAGUCGAGCGAACAGACGAGGAGCUUGCUCCUCUGACGUUAGCGGCGGACGGGUGAGUAACACGUGGAUAACCUACCUAUAAGACUGGGAUAACUUCGGGAAACCGGAGCUAAUACCGGAUAAUAUAUUGAACCGCAUGGUUCAAUAGUGAAAGACGGUUUUGCUGUCACUUAUAGAUGGAUCCGCGCCGCAUUAGCUAGUUGGUAAGGUAACGGCUUACCAAGGCAACGAUGCGUAGCCGACCUGAGAGGGUGUUCGGCCACACUGGAACUGAGACACGGUCCAGACUCCUACGGGAGGCAGCAGUAGGGAAUCUUCCGCAAUGGGCGAAAGCCUGACGGAGCAACGCCGCGUGGGUGAUGAAGGUCUUCGGAUCGUAAAACUCUGUUAUUAGGGAAGAACAAAUGUGUAAGUGACUAUGCACGUCUUGACGGUACCUAAUCAGAAAGCCACGGCUAACUACGUG
rnacentral:rRNA from 1 species